rnacentral:rRNA from 1 species
CCUACGGGAGGCAGCAGUAGGGAAUUUUCCGCAAUGGGCGAAAGCCUGACGGAGCAAUACCGCGUGAGGGAUGACUGCCUAUGGGUUGUAAACCUCUUUUUUCAGGGAGGAAUAAAUGACGUGUACCUGAAGAAUAAGCAUCGGCUAACUCCGUGCCAGCAGCCGCGGUAAGACGGAGGAUGCAAGUGUUAUCCGGAAUCACUGGGCGUAAAGCGUCUGUAGGUGGCUCGACAAGUCAACUGUUAAAUCUUGAAGCUCAACUUCAAAAUCGCAGUCGAAACUAUCGGACUAGAGUAUAGUAGAGGUAAAGGGAAUUUCCAGUGGAGCGGUGAAAUGCGUAGAGAUUGGAAAGAACACCGAUGGCGAAGGCACUUUACUGGGCUAUUACUGACACUCAGAGACGAAAGCUAGGGUAGCAAAUGGGAUUAGAUACCCCAGUAGUCCUAGCCGUAAACAAUGGAUACUAGGUGUUGAACAGAUCGACCUGUGCAGUACCAAAGCUAACGCGUUAAGUAUCCCGCCUGGGAAGUAUGCACGCAGUGUGAACUACAAGAAGUAGACGGCGUGAGACGUAGCCGAACGGACGACGACGAGGGAGGUAGG